AUUGAACGCUGGCGGCGGGCCUAACACAUGCAAGUCGAGCGGAUGAAGGGAGCUUGCUCCUGGAUUCAGCGGCGGACGGGUGAGUAAUGCCUAGGAAUCUGCCUGGUAGUGGGGGAUAACGUCCGGAAACGGGCGCUAAUACCGCAUACGUCCUGAGGGAGAAAGUGGGGGAUCUUCGGACCUCACGCUAUCAGAUGAGCCUAGGUCGGAUUAGCUAGUUGGUGGGGUAAAGGCCUACCAAGGCGACGAUCCGUAACUGGUCUGAGAGGAUGAUCAGUCACACUGGAACUGAGACACGGUCCAGACUCCUACGGGAGGCAGCAGUGGGGAAUAUUGGACAAUGGGCGAAAGCCUGAUCCAGCCAUGCCGCGUGUGUGAAGAAGGUCUUCGGAUUGUAAAGCACUUUAAGUUGGGAGGAAGGGCAGUAAGUUAAGACCUUGCUGUUUUGACGUUACCAACAGAAUAAGCACCGGCUAACUUCGU
rnacentral:rRNA from 1 species